GCUUACGGCCAUACCACCCUGAGCACGCCCGAUCAUCGUCUGAUCUCGGAGCUAAGCAGGGUCGGGCCUGGUUAGUACUUGGAUGGGAGACCGCCUGGAUACCCAGGUGCAGUAAGCU
rnacentral:rRNA from 1 species